CCGAGUUUACAACUCCCAAACCCCUGUGAACAUACCUAUAUGUUGCCUCGGCGGAUCAGCCCGCGCCCCGUAAAACGGGACGGCCCGCCGCAGGAUCCACAAACUCUGUUUUUAUUGUAACUUCUGAGUAAUUCUUAACUAAUAAGUCA
rnacentral:misc_RNA from 1 species